rnacentral:snRNA from 1 species
UGGCACUGGUUUGGACUACCCCAGAGCCUUCAAAAAUUGCUGAGUGCUUCUGAAACUGAGAAGCUCCAACUGUAUGAACCUGAAGAGUAACUCUCUGGCUGUGGGC